GAUCGGCGGGUCCACACCGACGGUCUUCCUGCAGUAGCACCAGCAUUUUCCCAAAGGCCAGGAACGUGUCGUCACUGUCAGGACGCCGCACAGCUGGCCGGGGAAUGGAGCCGUGCAUCCAGUUCUGUUCAGCCAGUGACCGUCCUGGGCUCAGUAUUUCACAUGGUCACUUCGUGUAACCCUUGUGUGGCUUCCAGGAGCAGAGAAUUAUGCUCCCCGUGGAGAUGCAGAGACAGGGCUCAGAGGUUGGCCGACUUGCCGAAGCCACACAGCUAGGAAGCCGGGGACCCAGGAUGCAAUCUCAGGCCGCUGGUUCCAAGAUCUGGGCUCUUAACCACUGCCGUCAUUUGCCCCGUUUCAUCGCCGGAGUGUCCGUUUUUAUGUUAAACGCAAACCAGCCACUGUAUUAGCUACGGAUUGAGGGCAGCAAAGCAACACAAAACUCAGGGACUUCAAACAACACACGUUUGUUUCCCACAGUCCCUGGGACCAGGAGGCCGGCCCCGCUCAGAUGGGGCCCUGCCCGGGGUCCCUCACAGGCCGCGGCGAACGUGCCCGGGGCCUGGGUUGCGUCUCAAAGCUCCUCAGGGGAAGGACCUCCUUCCACAUGCACGGGGUCGUUGGCGACACUCCGCUCUGUGUGAGCUGUUAGACUGAGGGCCCCGGCUGCUCGCCGGCCUGAGGCCACCACAGAGGCAGCCCGUCACCAACGUGUGCCGCAGAGACAGAGUCCGGGAAGGUGGGCAUCACCGUCUUUUGUAACAUCCUAUCACUUUGCUGCAUUCUGCUCGUGAGGAGGAAGUCCGCAGGUACAGCCAACACGCAGAGCUCCUGAGGGGAGCAGGGCCCCACAGCUUUCUGGAGACCCCUCUCCUGCCGCGUGCGCACGGGGGCCCAGCUCUGAGCUGCGCCUGUGGUUCCCCGCUCCCCGGCCUCGCCUGCCUGCGGACCCCACCUCCUGACCCCACCUCCUGACCCCGCUGAGGUCCAGGGCCGGCCCCGCCCCCAGUCCCUGGAAAUCGCUGACCUUUGGGUCUCCACGGGCCUGCCUUCUCCAGAGUGUCACCGGGCGGGAGCCGCACGCACGCACGCACGGCGUGCGGCCUCAUCGGACGCGCUUCUCCCACCGAGCCGUGUUCACUGAAGGUUCCCGUGGCCUCCCAGCUCAUCGCUUUGUCAUGCCGAGGAAAUGAGUUUAUUCGGAAGGAAACGCAAAGAAGGACUAAGUAGAAAUGGUGGAAAUAAAAAGCAUCGCAUUUAGAAACACUCGUGGCUAGACACAACUCCGGAUUCGGUGAUUGGGAAGGUGUGUCUGGGAGCAUGACCCCGAAUGCAGCACCAGCCAGCAAAGAGAUGGAAAACGUGGGAAAUUAGUCAAAAGACAUCUGGAGAACAAAGCAAGAACACCAGACACACGUUUCAGAGGCUACCCCGAAGGAGAGGGGGGAGGGGAGGCGGCGUACGAGCAUUAACGACGGAGACGCUUUCACAGUCGGAGAGCCAUGCGCUCUGAGCUGGGAAAGCGUGUGGAGUCCCGGACGCGCUAAAUAAAGUGAAUUCCCAUCUGGGUGACCCAGGGAGUGGGAUCACAGAGCAUCAAAGGUAAGGAAGAGCCCUCAAAGCCGCCAGAGAUUCCAAAAGCAGUGGAGACCCCAGCCAGGCACGGCCCGCCCCCUUGCUUCCUCACACUGGAACUGAGGGCCCACUGUGCGCGCGGGCCUGUGCCCCCUGCGGAAAUGUUCUAGCUCUGUUUCCGUAAAUUUCACCUUUCUUCCUGCUCUAGCCCAGGUCAUACCCCUUCCUCCAGGGAGUCUUCCUGACUACCCCUGUUCUCAACGCUUCUCCUUGCUCUUCAUCACUGUCCCCAUCACAGUCCGCCCCCCACCUCUGGGUGCCCACCUUCGCUGGGUUCUGUCCCUUGAGUGUUCGUCCUUGUUCCCCACGUAAACAGUGAGCCCUGGGGGCCCUGGGGCCUUGUCCACGAUCUUUCUCUUCUCCCCAGGUGAGUGUGGUGUUGGCUGGCUACGCACACAUGUACAGUGAAGAUUCUGGAACUCUUAGUCAAUCGAUCCUUUGGAGUCAAACAGGAGUUAGGUUCUCACACUGAGUGAAGCCCAUUUUUACAAGCUCUUUGGGCCCCUCUGAAAGCAUAUUUCCACCCGAUGGUCCGGCCAGGGUAGAGUUAAUAAACACUCUUAAGCAGAGUUUUAAAGCCUGUCAUUAUAUUACUUAUGGUCGUUUUAAAAAUAACCCCCUUUUAAACUAAUAAUCAGAUCAUCUGUGCCUGGAAGAGUACAG